rnacentral:rRNA from 1 species
UACGUAGGGGGCAAGCGUUGUCCGGAUUUAUUGGGCGUAAAGAGCGUGUAGGCGGCCUGGAAGGUCCGUUGUGAAAACUCGAGGCUCAACCUCGAGACGCCGAUGGAAACCACCUGGCUAGAGUCCGGAAGAGGAGAGUGGAAUUCCUGGUGUAGCGGUGAAAUGCGCAGAUAUCAGGAAGAACGCCCGUGGCUAAGGCGGCUCUCUAGUACGGUACUGACGCUGAGACGCGAAAGCGUGGGGAGCGAACAGG